CCCUUAGAUGUUCGGGGCCGCACGCGCGCUACACUGAAGGAAUCAGCACGUCUUUCUCCUUGUCCGAAAGGACUGGGUAACCCGCUGAACCUCCUUCGUGCUAGGGAUUGGGGCUUGUAAUUCUUCCCCAUGAACGAGGAAUUCCCAGUAAGCGCGAGUCAUAAGCUCGCGUUGAUUACGUCCCUGCCCUUUGUACACACCGCCCGUCGCUACUACCGAUUGGAUGGUUUAGUGAGAUUCUCGGAUUGGUCCCGGCGCGGCCUCUGGUCGUGCCGGAGUGCCGAAAAGAAUGUCGAACUUGAUCAUCUAGAGGAAGUAAAAGUCGUAACA
rnacentral:rRNA from 1 species